rnacentral:rRNA from 1 species
CACCGCGGUUAUACGAGAGGCCCAAGUUGAUAGACACCGGCGCAAAGAGUGGUUAGGUAACUUAAUUAAACUAAAGCCGAACGCCCCCAAGGCUGUUAUACGUGCUCGGAGGUAUGAAGCCCAACUACGAAAGUGGCUUUAACUACAUCUGAACCCACGAAAGCUGUGAAA